UUAACUGAUGACAUUGCCUUGUGAAAUUCCUUCUCCUGGCUCAUCCUGGCUCAAAAGCUCCCCCACUGAGUACCUUGUGACCCCCACUCCUGCCUGCCAGAGAACAACCCCCCUUUUUCCUUUACCUACCCAAAUCCUAUAAAACAGCCCCACCCCUAUCUCCCUUCGCUGACUCUUUUCGGAUCAGCCCACCUGCACCCAGGUGAUUAAAAGCUUUAUUGCUCACAUAAAGCCUGUUUGGUGGUCUCCUCACACAGAAGUGCAUGAAAUUUGGUGCCGUGACUCGGAUCGGGGGACCUCCCUUGGGAGAUCAAUCCCCUGUCCUCCUGCUCUUUGCUCCAUGAGAAAGGUCCACCUACGACCUCAGGUCCUCAGACCGACCAGCCCAAGAAACAUCUCACUAAUUUCAAAUCCGGACCCCACUGGAAAUCGGACUGUUCAACUCACCUGGCAGCCACUCCCAGAGGCCCUGGAACUCUGGCCCAAGGCUCUCUGACUGACUCCUUCCCAGAUCUUCUCGGCUUAGCGGCUGAAGACCGACGCUGCCGGAUCGCCUCGGAAGCCCCGUAGACCAUCACAGAUGCUGAGCUUUAAGUAACCCUCACAGUGGACGGUUCCCACGCCGCCCCUAGUCCCGCUUGAAGCAGCCUGGAGAAACAUCGCCCAUUAUCUCUCCAUACCAUCCCCAAAAAUUUUCGCCAUCCCAACACUUUACCACUGUUUUGUUUUAUUUUAUAAAUAAAUUAAUUAUUAAUAUAAGAAUAUAUUUAUUUUAUAAAUAAAUUAAUUAUUAAUAUAAGAAGACAGGAAUGUCAGGCCUCUGAGCCCAAGCUAAGCCAUCAUAUCCCCUGUGACCUGCACAUACACAUCCAGAUGACCGGUUCCUGCCUUAACUGAUGACAUUCCACCACGAAAGAAGUGAAAAUGGCCUGUUCCUGCCUUAACUGUGAGAUUGUCUUGUGAAAUUCCUUCUCCUGGCUCAUCCUGGUUCAAAAGCUCCCCUACUGAGUACCUUGUGACCCCCACUCCUGCCUGCCAGAGAACAACCCCCCUUUUUCCUUUACCUACCCAAAUCCUAUAAAAUGGCCCCACCCCUAUCUCCCUUGGCUGACUCUCUUUUCAGACUCAGCCCGCCUGCACCCAGGUGAUUAAAAGCUUUAUUGCUCACACAAAGCCUGUUUGGUGGUCUCUUCACAUGGACGUGCGUGAAACCAGCUACUUGGGAGGUGGAGGCAGGAGGAUCGCUUGUGUCUAGGAGGUCAAAGCUGCACUGAGUUAUGACGGCAUCACUGCACUCCAGCCUAGGUGACUCAGUGAAACCCAGUUCAAAAAAUUAUUAUUUUAAAAAAAGAGUGUAGAAAGAGUUCGACAACAAAGGAGUAGCACAAGGAUAUUUGGGUAUGCAGGGGGUGAGACAGUGAUGGAACUGUUCUAUUUCUUGAUUGUGAUGAUGGUUGUAUUAGUUUGUACAUUUGUUAAGACUCAUAGAACUAUAUACCAAAAAGAGUGAUUUUUGCUGUAUGUGAAUUUUAAAACAAAUUAAGAAAAUGUAUUGAAAAUAAAAUCAUAGACCGCAAUACCAUUGUAUUAGUUUCCUAUGGCUGCUGUGACAAGUAACCACAAACUUGGUGAUUUUAAACAACAUGAAUGUACUUUUCCGUAGUUCUAGAGGCCAGAAGUCCAAGAUGAGUCUUACAGAGCUAAAAUCAAGGUGUAGACAGGCCCAGGCUCCUCCUGGAGGUUGCCUCCUCCAACUACUGGUGGCCAUUGGCAUUUCUUGGCUUGUGGCUGCAUCACUCCAAUCUCUGUUUCCAUGGUCAUAUUAAUUUCUCUUCUUUUUUCUGUGUGAAUUAUGCCCUUGCUCCCUCUCUUAUAAUGAUACUUAGGAUUGCAUUAGAGAUCAGGUGAAUACUCCAGGAUAAUCUCCUAUCUCAAGAAUCUUUAAUGGCUCUAGACAGCCUUUGCCAUAUAAGGUAAUAUUCACUGAUUCCAGGGAUUAGAAUGUGGCCAUUUGGGGUAUGAGGCCAUCAUUCAGCCUCCCACAACCGUAGUAAAUAGGAGAGGUCUACACAGGGAACUUUUCAUAUACUGAUAAUGUU